rnacentral:ncRNA from 1 species
AAAAAGACAAGGAUAAGGAGUAUUAAGAACGGAGAUAGCAAAGAGAGUCAUCGGUUGGUGUAAGAUGAUGUAUGGAAGUUCCCAACUCGCCUUUGAGUCCCUUGAGUGAAGUACAGAUGUAGUUACAAUAGUAGGUCAGGGCGUUUCAUUCGCGUUAAGAAUGUCUGAGUGCGUAUUCUUUCGAAUACGAAUGAGAGUGGUACCACGGAGCAAUUUCCUUCGUCUCUUUA